ACUCAAAUGAAUAGACGGGGGCCCGCACAAGCGGUGGAGCAUGUGGUUCAAUUCGACGCAACGCGAAGAACCUUACCUGGGCUAGACAACGGCGGACUGCCCUAGAGAUAGGACUUUCCCUUCGGGGACUGCCGGUUCAGGUGCUGCAUGGCUGUCGUCAGCUCGUGCCGUGAGGUGUUGGGUUAAGUCCCGCAACGAGCGCAACCCUCGUCCUUAGUUGCCACCAUUCAGUUGGGCACUCUAGGGAGACUGCCGGCGUUAAGCCGGAGGAAGGUGGGGACGACGUCAAGUCAUCAUGGCCCUUAUGUCCAGGGCUACACACGUGCUACAAUGGACGGCACAAAGGGUCGCAAACCCGCGAGGGGGAGCCAAUCCCAAAAAGCCGUUCUCAGUUCGGAUUGGAGUCUGCAACUCGACUCCAUGAAGUUGGAAUCGCUAGUAAUCGCGGAUCAGAACGCCGCGGUGAAUACGUUCCCGGGCCUUGCACACACCGCCCGU
rnacentral:rRNA from 1 species